rnacentral:rRNA from 1 species
GAUGAACGCUGGCGGCGUGCCUAAUACAUGCAAGUCGAGCGAACGGACGAGAAGCUUGCUUCUCUGAUGUUAGCGGCGGACGGGUGAGUAACACGUGGCUAACCUACCUAUAAGACUGGGAUAACUUCGGGAAACCGUAGCUAAUACCGGAUAAUAUUUUGAACCGCAUGGUUCAAAAGUGAAAGACGGACUUGCUGUCACUUAUAGAUGGAUCCGCGCUGCAUUAGCUAGUUGGUAAGGUAACGGCUUACCAAGGCAACGAUGCAUAGCCGACCUGAGAGGAUGAUCGGCCACACUGGAACUGAGACACGGUCCAGACUCCUACGGGAGGCAGCAGUAGGGAAUCUUCCGCAAUGGGCGAAAGCCUGACGGAGCAACGCCGCGUGAGUGAUGAAGGUCUUCGGAUCGUAAAACUCUGUUAUUAGGGAAGAACAUAUGUGUAAGUAACUGUGCACAUCUUGACGGUACCUAAUGAGAAAGCCACGGCUAACUACGUG